rnacentral:rRNA from 1 species
GCAUGUGUAGGAUAGGUGGUAGGCGAUGAAACCACGGCGCCAGCCGAGGGGGAGCCGACCUUGAAAUACCACCCUUGACGUUAUGAGGGUCUAACCGCAUCCCGUGAUCCGGGAUCGGGACCGCGCAUGGCAGGCAGUUUGACUGGGGCGGUCGCCUCCCAAAGCGUAACGGAGGCGUGCAACGGUAGUCUCAGACCGG